rnacentral:rRNA from 1 species
UACGGGGGGGGCAAGCGUUGUUCGGAAUUACUGGGCGUAAAGGGCUCGUAGGUGGCCAACUAAGUCAGACGUGAAAUCCCUCAGCUUAACUGGGGAACUGCGUCUGAUACUGGAUGGCUUGAGUUUGGGAGAGGGAUGCGGAAUUCCAGGUGUAGCGGUGAAAUGCGUAGAUAUCUGGAGGAACACCGGAGGUGAAGACGGGUUGCUGGGCUGACACUGACGCUGAGGCGCGAAAGCUAGGGUAGCAAACGGG